rnacentral:rRNA from 1 species
AUAGUCUAGAGUGAGGGAGAGGCAGAUGGAAUUGGUGGUGUAGGGGUAAAAUCCGUAGAUAUCACCAAGAAUACCCAUUGCGAAGGCGAUCUGCUGGAACUCAACUGACGCUAAGGCGCGAAAGCGUGGGGAGCAAACAGGAUUAGAUACCCUGGUAGUCCACGCCCUAAACGAUGUACACUAGUUGUUGGGGUGCUAGUCAUCUCAGUAAUGCAGCUAACGCAUUAAGUGUACCGCCUGGGGAGUACGGUCGCAAGAUUAAAACUCAAAGGAAUAGACGGGGACCCGCACAAGCGGUGGAGCAUGUGGUUUAAUUCGAAGAUACGCGAAGAACCUUACCUGGGCUUGAUAUCCUAAGAACCUUUUAGAGAUAAGAGGGUGCUAGCUUGCUAGAACUUAGAGACAGGUGCUGCACGGCUGUCGUCAGCUCGUGUCGUGAGAUGUUGGGUUAAGUCCCGCAACGAGCGCAACCCACGUAUUUAGUUGCUAACGGUUCGGCCGAGCACUCUAAAUAGACUGCCUUCGUAAGGAGGAGGAAGGUGUGGACGACGUCAAGUCAUCAUGGCCCUUAUGCCCAGGGCGACACACGUGCUACAAUGGCAUAUACAAUGAGACGCAAUACCGCGAGGUGGAGCAAAUCUAUAAAAUAUGUCCCAGUUCGGAUUGUUCUCUGCAACUCGAGAGCAUGAAGCCGGAAUCGCUAGUAAUCGUAGAUCAGCCAUGCUACGGUGAAUACGUUCCCGGGUCUUGUACUCACCGCCCGUCACACCAUGGGAGUUGAUUUCACUCGAAGCCGGAAUACUAAUGU